UUGGAGGGCAAGUCUGGUGCCAGCAGCCGCGGUAAUUCCAGCUCCAAUAGCGUAUAUUAAAGUUGUUGCAGUUAAAAAGCUCGUAGUUGAAUUUCGGGGUCAGUAGGUUGGUCAUGCCACUGGUAUGUACUGGUCUCACUGAUUCCUCCUUCCUGAUGAGCCGUAAUGCCAUUAAUUUGGUGUUGCGAGGAAUCUGGACUGUUACUUUGAAAAAAUUAGAGUGUUUAAAGCAAGCUAACGCUUGAAUACAUUAGCAUGGAAUAAUGAAAUAGGACGUUCGAUCCUAUUUUGUUGGUUUCUAGGAUUGACGUAAUGAUUAAUAGGGAUAGUUGGGGGCAUUAGUAUUCAAUUGUCAGAGGUGAAAUUCAUGGAUUUAUUGAAGACUAACUACUGCGAAAGCAUUUGCCAAGGAUGUUUUCAUUAAUCAAGAACGAAAGUUAGGGGAUCGAAGACGAUCAGAUACCGUCGUAGUCUUAACCAUAAACUAUGCCGACUAGGGAUCGGAUGAUGUUAAUUUUUUAAUGACUCAUUCGGCGCCUUACGGGAAACCAAAGUGUUUGGGUUC
rnacentral:rRNA from 1 species